ensembl:lncRNA
GUUCAAAGGACGGCUUCCCAGAUGUUCUGUGUGAAACAAUAAAAAUGAAACCAUCUGGCCGGUGAAGGUUAAUGAAGAGGGCCGGUCCUGGUGCAUGCAGUGCGGGUCGCGUUGUGGCUGAACGGCGCUGUGUGUGUCUCUCUGUGUGUCUCUGUGUGUCUCUCUGUGUGUGUCUCGGAGUGUGUCUCUGAGUGUGUCUCUGAGUGUGUGUCUGUGUGUUGUUGUCUCCAGGAGGUGCUCAGUGUGUCUCUGAGUGUGUGUUGUUGUCUCCAGGAGGUGCUCAGAGGUGCUCAGUGUGUGUGUCUGUGUGUUGUUGUCUCCAGGAGGUGCUCAGUGUGUGUGUCUGUGUGUUGUUGUCUCCAGGAGGUGCUCAGUGUGUGUGUCUGUGUGUUUUUGUCUCCAGGAGGUGCUCAGUGUGGGCGUGGGGCCCAGGACGGAGGCGGAGCUGCCCACCGGCCCUGAGCUCAGGGCUCUGCUGGGCCGGGUGGGAGAGGCCCUGGCCUGUAGGAAGUUCCUGACCCCGGUCUCCGAGCAGAUGUUGCUGCGCUCCACGGUGCUGUUGGCGUGUCAGAUCGGUACGACUCCACCCCGGGACGUCCUGCAACUAGAACAUGAUUCACUGGUCCAUCUCGUAUGGACGCACCGCGGCCGGCUCCGGGCUGGACCACCGUUCUCAUCAAAUAACAACCAAAACAAAC